CAAUAGCGUAUAUUAAAGUUGUUGCGGUUAAAAAAGCUCGUAGUUGGAUUUCUUCUCUUAUCAGCCGGUCCUCACUUCGUGAGAGUAUCUGGUCAGAUUUGAGAAUCCUCUUGAGGAACGUCGCUGCGCUUGAUUGCGUGGCACGGUAUUCAAGACUUUUACUUUGAGGAAAUUGGAGUGUUCACGGCAGGCAUUCGCCUUGUACACAUUAGCAUGGAAUAAUAAUAUAGGAUCACGACCCUAUUUUGUUGGCUUUUCUUAGAGUUGUUGAUAAUGAUUAAUAGGACAAUGGGGCAUUUGGUUAUUAACACGCAGAGGUGGAAUUCUUGGAUUGUGUUACGACAAACUACUGCGAAAGCAUUUGCCAAGGAUGUUUUCAUUGAUCAAGAACGAAAGUUAGGGGAUCGAAGACGAUUAGAUACCG
rnacentral:rRNA from 1 species